GAGAGAGAGAGAGAGAGAGAGAGAGAGAGAGAGAGAGAGAGAGCUGUCAUAAAAGGUCGGGCCUUUUUAAUUGCCAGCAAAGUACAGAGCACUGCAUUUCUGUCCUCAACCACCGGAGGCCACACACACAUACACAGCAGAACUAGAGGUUGGAAUUAUGAGUGCGACGAGGUUCAUAAAGUGUGUGACAGUGGGUGAUGGAGCUGUCGGAAAAACUUGCAUGUUGAUUUCUUACACCAGCAACACAUUUCCCACGGAUUACGUCCCUACAGUUUUCGACAACUUCAGUGCAAAUGUAGUUGUGGAUGGCAGCACAGUCAACCUAGGACUAUGGGACACUGCAGGUAAUAAUAAUUUUAUUUUCGACAUUUUU